GUUUUAUUGCAAACAUCUGUGUACACCUGAAGUACAGUUCUGUGUAAUAUCUUGAUCUUUUAUAUUUCCAGUUCAUUGAAUUACAUAGCUGGGAGUACAGUAAAGUUUUGUUGAGCUGUUUGUCAUGGAAUGGAUUCUUUAUGUGUAUUUUUGGAGAUGUUUUUUCUUCCAUAAAAAAUUUUUCAAUUAGACAUCUCUUUUUCUAUAUUACAGUAAAAAAAAAAAAUAGUUUAAUUUCUCCUUAUUACAUGUUUGCUGCUGACUUGGAAAAAUGAAUCACUGAAUCAUUCCAGGAAUACUUAUCAAAAUUUGGAGUGGACAUGGAUACCUGGUGAAGAAAGAUAGGGUGUAGCUGCUACGCAACUGCAAGUGUACAGGGGAAGUACCACAGGGAAAGCACAACCUCCUGGACUAACUGAAUUCCUUCUGAAAUCACAGGAAACCGAUUUGCUGACUUAAAGAUUGAACUGAUUCAUAUUUGAUGGGUUGAUGUUUCCUGCCAGUAGGGUUUCCUGAUUGGCUUAGUUGUUGUUUGUUUGGAGGUCAAACAUGAGGAUAUUGCCUUCAAAACAACAAAGAGGAAGCAGAUGAGGGAAAGAAAAAAACAAGUCUGUUAUUUGGGAAGAUCUGGCAUGAGCAAAUUUCUGAUAAUUUCUGAUAUUUACUGUUUUUUUGUGACUUGUGAAUCAUCUGUGUAAAUUUUAUUUGUAAAUACAAGGUAGAUAAUUUUUAAUGAGUGGCUGUUGAUUGAUCCCUCUAAUUGUCCCAGACAGGCCCCAAAGACAUUAGAGUGCAUGGCUGGCAAAAUAAUAGAGAGUGAUUACUUAAAAUUCUAUUUAGAAAUUAGCUUUGUGUGGUACUCUGUCUAGCUCUACUUAUUGACUGCCCAGACAAUGUAUUUUACAUCUUCUGUACUCAAAUGAAUCACAGCAUGUUUUUAAAAAUUGGCUCUUACCAUCUCUCAUGCUCUAAUCACUUUGUGCUAUGCAGCAGUAAUGACACUUCUGAUAGGUUUAUGUAGUUAACAUGUUGCUCUUACACUGCAUCCAGCCCUUUUUUUAAAAUAUAUUUUGUAUAAAAAUUAUGAAACAAAGGGCAUGGCAUCUUUGUGUUUUGCCUGCAGCAAAAAAUAGGGAAGGGGAGACCACUGUCCUGACAUGACAAGAGCUAAUGGUGAAGGCAUUUUUCAACCUAUUUCAGUGUUUUUUCUUAUGAUAUUGUUGUGGGUCUUUCAGAUCCUUUGACAAAUAUUAAGAGGAAAGAGAGGGAUUACUCAGUAUAGUUAAAGCUUGUAAAACAAGUAAAAGAAAAUUCCAGAUAUGCAGAUGAGUCAGUUGAAAAAAGACAUGGAAAAUGAAUGUAAGUACAUAUAUGUACAACAUAUCAUAGAAUCAUAGAAUGGCCUGGGUUGAAAAGGAUCACAAUGAUCAUCGAGUUUCAACCCUUCUGCUAUGUGCAGGGUCACCAACCACUAGAUCAGGCUGCCCAGAGCCACAUCCAGCCUGGCAUUGAAUGCCUCCAGGGAUGGGGCAUCCCUCCUUGGGCAACCUUUGUACAAAGGAUGCAUAAAUGUGUAUGCAAUAAUAUAUUUAUACUUAUAAAUUAUUUUCAGUAAGAGAUAAAGAGGAUCAGAUCACAUACUCUCAAUUUUUACAAAAAAAAAUUAUCAGGUUAAAUGUUUCUCAGAUUCUCAAUAUUUUCCUAAGGGAGGAAGCUGUGUAGGUCAAUACGUUAGGAUUAAGUAGUGACAUAUAGGUCUUUUCAUCUGUGGGAUUAGCAAAUAAAAGUCAUGAGCACAAAGGAGCUAUUCCUCUCAGGACAACUUUAAUCUUGUGCCUAAGUCCCAGUGAAGUUUGUGAGAUUUAUCUGAUAAUGCUAAUGCAGCUUCUAAAUAUAUUACAGUACAGAAAAUAUACUGUGAAAAUCAGCAUUGUACUGUAGAGAGGAGGCAUUCUAAUUUAAAUACAUCAGAAAUACUAAUGAAUGUUCAUUAAAUCUAUGACUAAUGGAAAGAUAGUUAUUCGGUAACUUUCUCUGAAUCCUUAAUGCACACUGUAGAAAGAAAUUAAAUCUAACAUUUGUUUCAGUGUUCUGUUCAAAAUAAAUAAAAUUAACCCAGUGAAACAUUGUCAAAAGAUGGAGAGCGCAUAAAACUGGGCAUAUUUAUGUGGACACAGGGAUCAAUUAACUGAAAACAGGAGGAUGUUUUGUGCAGCCCAAACUGUGGCAAUAUACAACUUUUCUGUUUAGUACUACAAAUGUAGAUGUUUGGAAAGUACAUAAUUUUCUCUGGAGAAUUCCACUGAAUGGCAUCCACAGAUUGAAAACAGCCCUUCUGCCAUAGCUCUGCAUAUAGGACUCCAGAAGGAUAUGUCUUACACAUCUCAUUGAAAGUGUCUCUAUAUUGAAAUCUCCUAUGUGGAACUGGGUGAAUAUGAACUGGUACAUUCUGAAGUACUUCAAGCUGUAAGAAGAGAUGCAUCUUAAUUCCUCAAAGGAAUCAAUGGGGAUUUUUGCGUUUCUUUUUGUGCUUUUGAAAUAGAAUAAAUUGAAAGUGACACAUCAAUCAGUUAGAAAAAGUAACAAAUCUAUGUAAGAACUGAAUUUAUAAAGCUUAUCUGGGAUUAUUUUACAUGCAUUAAGUUUAACAAGAUCAGUUUAAGUAAGAGGUGAGUUUUAAAACCUCUUACGUAUUUGAUUUUAUUUACUGUUUUCUUAUGAGCAGUUUUGUAGAUGAUCUGUAAAGUGAGACAGUCCCACAGAGAGAGACAAUGAUUUCUGCAAGUAACCAUCUCUCUGACACUGUCCCUGCGCAUUCCUUAGAGUUACUGUCAUAUGUGACAGGCAGGUGGGAUAAGAAAAUCUUUAUUUUCUAGUAUGAAUGGCCUCCAUCUAAUAUUCCAUUGGAUGGAGAAAGUUUCAAAAGUUAGCCUUUCACUUCGUGCUGAUGUUGGUGGCUUAGGCAUUCUUUAGAGUGUUACUCCAAGAUCGUGCUCUAGAUCAGCUGGAAUCUAUAGGUAAUGAUCUACAGCAUACAAAAAGCAGUAGGAAUUGUUUCUACUGCCUCGUGUGGAUUUUUACUGGACCCUGAAUGAAUUUUAAGAGAAAAUCACUCAAAAUUUGUUCUGUAAGUCAAUGCCUAUUGACGUAAUCAAGUGGUAGAACUUUAUUUCGCUGAGUGAUGUUAAAAAUGAAAUAUAUUACUUAAGAGAGAUAAAUACAUAGAGACCAGUUAUUUUUGCCACCAGAAAACUCAUCUGUUUACUUACUAGCAUAUUGCCAUAUUUUCUACAGUAAAAAGCAGAAUAUUCAGUAUUCUGCACAUUGCUAUGAUUAUUAUACUAAUGCUGACUAGCUCAUUAUCCUAUAAUCUUCUUUAAAUAAUUUGAUUUUACAGUUGGCUGGUUUGCCUGAGAAAAUUAAGUAAAUGUGCUAAGAAUGGAGAUGGGGAAUGAACUGUUAUCUGCACAUGAAACAAAAAUAGCUGAUGUUCUGAGGUGAAUUGUAGUUAUAGCACUUCCUUGUAAAGAUGUCCUCCGAAUUAGGUGAACUUGAAAAAGAUUUUCGCAAAGACAGGUUAGAAGACCUUGAAAAUACAGGUGGAAAUGCACCACCGGCUGCUUUGCAGACAUUCAUGCAGACUGUGGUUAUGUAGAAGGUCACUUGGUUAAAUAUACAUGAAAUGUACAGAUUGGGAAAAGGCACAGAAAAGAAAUAAAGAGAGGAAAACAAAAGGAGACCAAGACAACAUGGCUUCUUGAUUUUCAUUGAAAGCCAAGUUUUGGCAAAGGACUUUCUCUACUCUCCACUCAUGCAUUGUUACAAAACAUAUGCUGAUAUGUUUGGCAGGAUGCUAGAGGCUUUUUUUCUUUUCAUUUUUGUUUUCAGUAACUGGCUUGCUUUUAAAUUGAGGUUCACAGCCCACAGCCUGACAUAAACAAGCAGUCACAUCUUUCACUUUUAAUGCACUCCAUCAGAGGAAGCAUAGCAUGCCACGAUGGUGUCUCUCUACAACCAUCAUUUAAACAAAAGUGCAAUAAUCCAUCACCUCAGCAUAGGCAAGGAUCAUUGCCCAAUCAGAGCAUUACGAGUGAGUUGAAUAUUUUUUAUAUCCUCCUAUUUGAUUUAUGGAAUGAAGGCAAAGUAGUGAAAAGCUGAUGAAUAGCAUUUCAGACCAUGGAACAGAAAUGGGAAAGAAUUUUUAAAAAGCCAUUUGCAUCUUGGUGCUGUUAGUUGUAGGGAGCACUUAGAGAGGUUCAUCUGGUAAAGGAAUUGAGAUGUCAUAUCAAGAGAAACAUAUACAGGUGCUAAGUUACCAGUUAGAAGCUAAUUAAAUCCCAAACUGGCCAAAUGAUAAUGAUGGCUGUGUAGUAGACUUGGUGGUGAGCUGGCUGUGCCUGUUCCAUUUAUGAACAGUCACAGAAUCAUCAGAGUUAGAAAAUACCUCAAGAUCGUGUAGUCCAACCAUCAGCCAACCCCCAGCAUGCCCACUAAGCAUGUCCCUAAGUACCACAUCUACAAGUUUCUUCAACUUCUCCAGGGACUGUUGGUUGUGGAUGCCCCGUCCCUGGGGGUGUUCAAUGUCAGGUUGGAUGGGGCCCUGGGCAGCCUGGUCUAGUAUUAGAUAUGAGAUUGGUGGCCCUGCCUGUGGCAGGGGAGUUGGAGCUUGAUGAUCCUUGGAGUCCCUUUCGACCCAAGCCAUUCUAUGAUUCUAUGACUGUGACUCCACUACCUCCCAGGGCAACCUGUCCCAAUGCAUCAUCACAUUUCUGAGAAGAAAUGUUUCCUAAUAUCCAACCUGAACCUCCUCUGGUGCAACUUGAUGCCAUACCCUCUUGUCCUAUCACCAGUCAUUGUCCCCCUCACAAAAACACAGCCUUAACUGAUUCUUUUCUGAAAGUUUUUUGUUGGUUUGCUUUUCCUUUCCGGAGAGGAACAUACAAGAGAGAAAGAUAAUGUAGCUCCUUUGAGACUACAGCCUUAGGCAGAAUCUCUUAAUGGGGGUUUUGUGGCUGCCAGGCAGUACCAGGGUCUUACAGCACAGUUCCUUCUUCUGCUGACAGGCAGGAGGUUUACAUUUCUACUGCGGACACAUUCAGACUGAAGCUGUGACUGAAGAAGAUAAAGCAGCCCUAAGACUGAUGCAUCUAGGUCACUGCUCCUGCUAUCUGCCAGUGCUUUUCUAGCCCCAGAAGAGAACAACCUGCCCAGGAAAUCAAGCAGCAAUGCUUGGAAGGGACUCCUCUCCAGUGGAUGCAUACCAACAUGAUGGAAUUGUGAAAUGACAUGUAUAAUUACGAUAGGAAGAGAUGAACUUUCAUGACGCUUCCUUUACAGAUCAAUAAGCCUCUGGGUUAAUUGCAGAAUUUCUUGCUGUUAAGUCCAGAACACCUGCUGUAAAACAAGAGGGUAAUGUCCAGUUCUGUACGCUCCCAUUAAAAAGUGCUUCCAGCGACCAGAAAUAGCUCUCUCCAGGAAACAGAAUAGAGGAGCAUGCAGUAUAAAAGUAGUUUCUCAUGUUCCACAUUAAUCUGGGUGUAUCUAUUUGCAACAGCAACGUGCAGAUUAUUACUGCAUGUCAGAAGAGUUAUUUGUAACCAGGGACAGUACGGCAAGCAAUUGGCAUACAGAUGACUGUUAUGCAGUCAAUUGGACAGGUUCAAGGCAUACAUUUAUGCCCUGCUAGUAUACAUAGCAACAACUUUGUUCUGUAACUGUCAUGACCUCUUUUGGUGCCACUUUCAUAUCUCACCCAGAAGGGUUUUAGGCAUCCUUUGUAGCCUUAAAAGCACUUAGAUUUCUGAAUUGCUUAUAUUGCUUAACAUGUUUGCUCCAGAUUCUUCAGCUUCCCACUGCUAUUUGUGAUUUCCACAGCGCUGAAGGGGAUCAUAGAUACAAUCAGCAAUUAAUACUUGUGGUAUUAAUUGGCUUGAAAUCUAUCCUUGCAGUUUUAAUGGUUCUUGCAAUUUUAUAAUUAGAAGGGUCAUACAUAAUGUUUUGCACUUUACUGUGUGAAAACUAAAGCAGAAUUGAUUGCUGAAAUGUGUUUCAGAGUCAUAUCUAUGCCAGCACAAUGAUUUGGGGACACAGGAAAAGGUUCUGCAAGGUUCUUCAUCAUUUUCUAUUGCAAAAGGGUAGGUAUAUCCUAGUCACUGCAUCAAUAAAGAAUUCUCCUUCAAGUUCUCCACUUUCAUCUCCAGCGUCCCUGGAGGCCAGCCAGGACAGGAGUGUUUGGUUAGAAGGUUUGGUCAGCCUGAGAUGCCUGUAGGGCCGGGCUGGUAGGUAUAUGCAUUUCAGAACUCAUAUCUUUUUACCAACAGAAACUGGUAAUAUUAGGGAAUGACAGUGCAUCUUGGUUGUAUCUGUCCUGAGAUAUUGUUCCUUAGAAUUACUGUUACUUGCUUGCAUUUGAAAAGGUGUCAGUAGUUCCAGAGAAGAAGUUAAUUCCUCCUCUUCCUCCCAUCUGCUCACUCAGAUUUCCAGAGUAUCCUGAGGAAAACCUGCACAGGACCUUCAGGACUACAGAAAAUGUGACUCUUUGACUGUUCCCUGGUCAGAGAUGGCUUAGAGUGCCUUACCUCCUCCACCACCCAGCUCUGCCAGAAGAUUUGAAGCACCUUGCAAGCAUGACACCUUCCAGGAGGUACAAGGGACCACAUGACUGGUGGGUUUUGUCUCAAGUAAAGUGUAUGAGAGAGCCAAUCCUCAUCUCCAAAAUAUAUUUUUGUUGAUGAAAAGGUAUUUGCCAUUUCUGUUGACUCGAAAAUGUAAGAUAAAACUACUGGCCUUCUGCCUGUCCAGUUAGUUACACUGGUACAGAAGAGAGUCUAAUUCCAAAACAUACAACUGGGGAGCAACUGCAGCCCAUAAUAUGGGACACCUGCAGAAUGCGGUCUGAUAGGCAGCAAUGCAUUUAUUAAUGGCUGUUUGAACCUGGACAUGUUAGCUGAACAGACUUAUUACUGUUAUUGUUACUUCACCCUGCUUUGGAAAAAAAUGAGAGCUGGGCAAGUGGUCCAAAAAGUAGUUAGAGCGACCGAAAACAGGCCAUUACUUCCAUGCCAGAAUACCAUGAGUGCAGAGAAGCUUUUUGCACAGCAUUUCAAAUUUUGUGACUAAUUCUCACGCAAACGUUCUCAUGAAAUUACUUUCCCUUGCGCGUAAGGCUGAGUUUGAACAGCAAACCUGAACAUACUGAGAAAUGUGCUCAGUCUUUGUUAACAUAUUGAGUUCAAGCUGCCCCAAGAGUGUUGAUGGAAGAACCAAUUCUUAGUCACACAUGGGGUCUGUAAGCAAGGUUACUGUUUCCUCCUAGUUAAUUUUGAUAGCUAGUCAUUGAUUACCUUGCUUUUCAGGAACAUAACUAAAAAUUAAGUCUACAAAAUAGUCCAUUUCCGUGCAAGAUUUUGAAAUUCUUAAUGAACAAAAACAACAAAAAAAGAGCUGUUCUGGGAUUAGGCAGGCCAGUGGAAGAGACAGACUCUCUGGUAUUCUUGGGAAUCUAGGCAAAAUCCUACGUUACGUAAAGGCACUUCUUUCUUAUAUCUUGGACAGAAGAAAGCAAUCAUAAAACUGAGUAGAAUAUUUUAAACUAUGUUUUAGCAGACUAUUAAAUAUAUGCCAUUUAUGCAGAGUUAGUUAUCUUUUUAAAAGCUCAGCUCUGAUGACUGGUUAGUUCAUAACUGAUUUGAAAUAGUAUCAAAAAGCUAUUGUGGGGGCUUAUGGGACUUGAAGGUCUUAUUACAUGUCUUUCUAGCCACCUGUUCAGAGCCUCAGUGAAGAGGUGCUUAAUGCUGAGGGUGUUUGUGUGUAAAAACAUAAUGUGUACAUUUAUAUGCGUGUAUACUUACGUAGUUCUCUCCAAAAGUAAUGCCUCCUCUUUAUUUUCAUGGAAACUACAACAGAUACAAAAAGCAUUAUAACACUGUUUGAUAGAGAACAUUCUCAGCUACAUAACACCAUUUUCCAACCCAGUCACUACCUUUAGGUGUGCAUUUCUGCCAGCCAUGAACAAGAGCCUGCAUGCUGCACUCAUAAACAUCUGCACCAGUGGAGAUUAACUGCUGUUGCCACUGCUGAAACACACCACCCACUGCCUCACUGUGCUCACAUCCACUGGUUGUUCUCCGCAAAUGUUCAGUAAAUGUUGAUGAAUGUCAGUGGGUGCCAUUUUUUCCGCAUGGAGGAAUUCAAUGACAUGCUUUUUCUUCAAUGAUACUUCCAUGUUAGACACCAUUUUGACAGACUGCCCCUCUGCUGCCAUCUGUCAUGUAGCAACAACAUAUAACGGAGUAUUGGUGGGAAGGUUCAACCUCUACUGCCAUACCUCCAACAUCCGCCUCUGACAUUGUGGGCCAUCAUAAUAAAAUAGGAGACAUUACUUUUGGAGUAGCCCUCUUAUAUGUAUAGGGCACCACCUUUAUUUUCUGAAGAUACUAUACUGUUAGGCAGAGUGCUAAUCAUGUCCUAUAUUUUCAGCAAUGCCCCACCUUCCCUCAACUCUGAAGUUGCUUCUGUGCUCUGGCAGCAUUUGGAGCUGUACUCCAUUAAGUCAGAGAUUGCUGCAUUCCCAGCAUGAGCUAUGAAUGCACAAAUAGACUUUUUGUUGUUGCUGUUUUGUUUUUGUUAAUGACUAAUGAGAACAUCUUAAAUUUUCUUGUAAAUUCUUUCCUGCUUUCCUUUUUAUAUUCAGAGAAACCAGGUAGAAAUGGGCUUCCUUGGGUUCCCAUUUUAAAUUUCAGAGUAGACUUCUAUGCUUUCGUUACAAUUUCCUUUCAACUUUUUUCCUGUGACAGUACUCAGGCAGUUAUAAACUUGUCUUUUCUCAUUCAAGUAAAUCAUUAAGGCAAUGCCCUUUCCUGCUACAGGUACAAUGGCCAUUUACCUGAGUUUCUCUCCCAAUUACAUGCUUCACUGGGCCUUUCUUGAUUUAAAUAUUCUCUCAUUUUUCCUUUGUUCUAAGCUAUCAGUGUUGCUCCUCAGCAAAGCCGAGUCAGGAAUCAUAGUAUCAGUUCCCACAAGAUGUUGUGCUUUUUGAAAUGCUGAGGAUCGAUUGCUUUUGUAAUGGACAAGUAUGAUGGAAGGUUUUCUUGUGAUUCUUUAAGUCUGAAAGGGGUUCUGUGUGAAUACUCUGAUUUAUAUGUAGCUGUAAUUGUUGUUACUCAGCAACACAGCCCGAGACUUACUCUUCUCUUUUUUUUUUUAAGUAUUUAUUUCUCUCAAUCACAGCUGAAGGGUUUAUUUACUGGAUACUGUGCAAAUAAAGUCCAUGCGCCACAGACAUCCACCUCCUAAAGGUGAACAAGCUGACAAGCAGGUGUUGAAAAAUAUCAACUGUGAAACAGAAUUGCUCAUUCUGAAAUUGGUGAACCUCAAUGUCAAGCGAUCAAAAGGCAUAGGAAAUGUUUGGACAAUCCACACUUCAGUGGAAAUUUUUCAUGUAGAAUUAACAGCCGAUCAGCUCAUAGCAGACUAGUUGUUGGCUCUUAAGAAGCUUCUCUUUCUGGUGUGGCGGAGUGUAAUGCAUGCCUUCUGUCAGCAUUAAGGGCCACGUCUGAGAGACAGGUUUCAACUGAAAAAUUUUAACAAAAAUAAAGGUGAGCAUCCUAAAAAUAAUACUUCAUUCUAGAAGCCCUUUGAAACCCAGCUGAAGUAAAUCCUCAUGGUUCCUGGGAAUAUUAUUUAGAUUUGCUCUUUGUAAUUUCUGAAGUUUGUGCCCAUUGCUGAACUGCUUUGGAAAUGUGGCGCAUAAAGGGGACGGGGCACCUUCAGCUGGCAGUGGACUUCAAGGUUGUUAAUCUGCCCUUUGUAAUGAAUCACUCAGGCUCUUUCUUAGGAGGAUGGGUCCUUGCUAUGUGAUUGGUGGCAUGCUAUAAAGCAUAGCAUGAUUCUAUUGAAAACAGUCCUUCAGGGCAUAUCAUAAUGUCUUUUUUUUUUUUCUUUUUAAGCACAUUUGCAUGUCAGUUGUUGUCUCAUGACAGAGGGUGGACCCUCUGGGCUACGUGACACUAGAAAGAGGGUUCAGUCUCAGGCUUGCCUGCAGGAUAGGGUGGAAGGCUGACUCCAGGUACCAGCAUUGGAUCAUCACUUGGUAAUUACUGUCCCAGACUGGUUUGUGUGGCAUUUAGGUAUUAGUGCUGUUGUAUGCACACCCAAGGCUCUAUUUUAAUCAAUCAUGUUAUGAAACACCUGAAUGUGGGGAAUGCAUCCUAUGUGAGAAUUUUGUGUAGCUUAUCCUAUUGCUUUCAUGCCCCAUUCUCUUCAGGUCAACAAAAAUGCUUUGAUUUAUUCUGAUGUCAGGAGAUUCAAAAUCAAAUCUGCAGUCUUUUUUUCUCCGGGUCUGGAAAGAAAACUUCAGAAGUUUUCUUCACCUAAGGUGAAAGGUGUAAUUGAAUUGUCCUGCCCUGUAAGGCUGUUCUUUCUUUCUUUCUCUUCUUAAGAGUGGAACAAGGUCAUCCCUUUGCAUGCAGUUCAAAAUUAGAUGCUCACAACUUGACUAGUGAACUUUAUUAUGGAGAUGGAAGCCUGCCAGCAUGAAGUCAGGGUUAGCCAAUAUUAGUUUGCGUGAAGUAUUAGAGUCACCUUCACAGUUGUUGGGAUCUAUGUUUUGGGCACUAAGAAGAUUGUGCUUCUUUCUUGAAGGAGAACAGUAAGGACUUUGCACAGAGUCAGCCAAUUAUGCAGUUUGCUCAAAGAUGAGCCAAUCAUUCAUUUUAAUGAACAGAAUUUGAACUUAGAUACAUAAGUAUGUCCUUGACAUUUUUAGUAGCGGUGACAUUAACUGAGCAGCUUGUUCUAAGAGAAAUAUCAGACAAGCACAAGUAUGCCUCCCUCUACAGGGAAAAACACUAAACAAAGUGACCUGCUUAGCAAAACCAGCAACAGCUAAUUGUAUAUUGCUGGAAUUCAGUUGUCUUCUGCUCUGUGAAUUUAUGUAGAGUAUUUGAGACAAAAAGCUGCAACAGAUGACUGUAAAACUACAAGAUUCAAAAAACAGCUUUAAGAAUUGAUGCUAAGAAGAUAAAAAAACGGUAGUUAGUAAGCAUUUUUUUCUUAAAACUAAUAGCCAGAGUUCCUGCCUAACAUUUGUUGUAUAAAGGACCUGUGAAAAUGGAGACAUACUGGAAUUCUGUUCAGCAGUAUUACCUAUAAGAAGUCUUUUUAAUUUAUAAUGUCAGUUAACAGAAUCAUAAAAUCACAGAAUCAUUAAUGUUGGAGGAGACCACUAAGAUCCUCUAGUUCACCCCUCAGCCCACUACCACAAAGACUACUAAACCGUGCCCUUCAGUGCCACAUCUCCAUGGUUCUUGAACACCUCCAGCAAUGGUGAUUCCAUCACCUUCCUGGACAUGCCAUUUCAGUGCCUCAACACUCUUUCGGAGAAGAAGCUCUUUCUAACACCCAACCUAAACCACCCUUGGUGCAACUUGAAGCUAUUGCCUUUUGUCCUAUUGCUGUGAUAUGGGAGAAGAGGCUGACUCCCAACUUACAACAGCCUCCCUUCAGGUAGUUGUAGAGAGUGAUAAGGUCUUCCCUGAGCCUCCUCUUCUGCAGAGUAAACAAUCCCAGCUCCCUCAGCCACUCCUCACAGGACUUGUGCUCUACACCCUUCACAGCUUCAUUGCUCUUGUGUAGACCUGCUUCAGGGCCUCAAUGUCCUGCAGUGAGGGGACCUAAAACCUAACAUGGUACUCGAGGUGAUAACACUGUUUCUCUUCUGAGAGGAAUCAAAGCAUGCUUUUUUCACCUUACUGUAAUAUUCUUCUCAUCAUAGACUGUUCUAAUUUUAAAUAGGAAAAGAUGUUUUUGUUGGACCCCAAACUAUUUAUCCAUUAUAAAGCAGGUAUCUUAGCAAACUUAAUUUCAGUGUAUUAGUGGCUAUAAAAGCGGUGAGAAUAUAGGCCAGGUUUUUAGAUGUAUUUUGACGUUUAACUCUGACUGAGCAGAAUAGGAAAUAGAUACCUAAAAUAUAAAUUUAUCCAUCUAGACAAGGCAUAUGAAAACGUUAGGUGUGCAUAAAGAAAGAUUCACUAACUAUAUUUCACUGAUAAGGAUUAGAGACACGGAGCUCCAGGUUGUGUGGCAUAUUUUGAAGAUAUUGCAAAGACUUAGAUGUGUAGUGGAUGGGUGAUUGCAUGUCUGAAUGACUUUCCCAGCAGCAAAGCCCCCCCACCCUCCUUUUUUUCUUUUUUCUUUUUUUUUUUUACCCAUUAUAGAAGAGAGCCGGGAGCUUUGGCGGUCGAUACACUGGGAUCUUGAUUUGUGAAGUUCCUUGAUGCCACAGACAACUAACUUCGCUCAUAUAUGUGUAUAUUACUCCAUCUUGAGAAGAGUAGGUUUUCUCACAUUUCCUGUACUUAAUGAAAUUAGCAUUUCACAUUUUCCUCUAAUUUACAGCUUUAAUUUAGUUGGGACAAUCUAUAUUUAUUCACUCUAAUUUCAAUUCUGGUAUGUUUUUGCUAGUUCAAUUGCUGUUCUCUCUGUGUUGUUUAAACUUUGAGGUAUUUAAAGCAUUUAAUAAUAGUUUAUUUGUCUUUCCUGGUUAUGAUGUAGAAUUUUUACAUUGUCUGAUCUUUCCAUUUGUGACAAUUUGGAACAGUUAAAGCCAAAUAACUAAAAAAGUAACAGGCAGAUUCUGUAUUUAUAAUUGGCACUCUUGAAUAGUGAAAAACUUUAUUUUGUACUUUUAUUGGACUGAAAUGUUUUCCCUACAGUGCUUGCUAGUGAAAUAGGCUUUUUUCCUAAACUUGACACACUGCACCAAUGAAGAACUGUUUAUUGUUAUUAUAUUUGUGUUUAUUUCCAUUUUUCCCCCCAGCUCUGUGGAAGAUUCUAUCUUCUAUUAAUUACACUGAAGGUUUUCCAAUUCUGUUUCAUGCAUAUGUUAGUAACCAUGUCAUACACAAUUUCUUCAGUUUUUGUCAGCCAAGAAGUAGAAGUAGAAUUGCAUUUUCCCUGCCAUAUGAUGUGUAUUUCAUGAUCACAAUAUUUUGGUUUCCCAUGGCCUUUGACAAUAGAGGUAAUAAUUUUUGCCCUAGAAAAGUUCCAAAUAUGAAGUUGAUGUUAAAUAUCUUUAACUUGGUUUGUCAAGAAUAGAAAAGAAAAUUGUCUUUUUUUUUUUUUUUUUACCUCCAGGUUCUAAAUUUGCAGCCAAGAUUUGGAAUAGUUGGAUGAAGCUAAUUUUUAUAACUAUGUGGAAGUUUUUCAGAGUUUUUAGGACGGUAAAGACUGUGGACUAUUUCUCCUGUGCAACGUAUUUUCCCUCAAAGUUCACCUAGACUGACAGACCAAAUUUAGUUCUGAAUUAUGGAAUCACAGAAUCAUAGGGGUUGGAAGGGACCUCUAGAGAUCAUCAACUAAACACUGUCUAAAUUCUGCUAGGCUUCAUAUGUUUCUUUUAAACUUUUCCACAGCAGAAACCGAACCUACCACAGUGUAUUUUUUGAGUUUGACCUAUAUAAUUCCUCUAACGACUUCUCCAGUGGUAAGUGUGGAGUGAAUGACCUUACAAAGCUAAGAGACUGUGCUUGUCGAGUAUGUUCUUCAUUUUAGAGCUGUGUCACGUUGCAGGUCACUGAAUCCUCAGAGACUCACUAGUCUCUGAGAAUGUGAGAAUGGAAAAUGGGGCCAUAUAUAGGAAGGUUAUCGCAAUGUCGCUACUACAGGAAAGCAAGAAUCUUCUAAACAAAGAGUGAACUAAACACUGUCAGACUCAGCAGAGACAUUUGUAAAGCUGAAAAUUCUACUUGCUGCAGAGUUUAUUUCUUUCUCAAAGCAGGUGCAAAUAGCUGUAGCACCAAAGGAAUCCCAGACUCUCUUCCACUCUGCUAUACAGCCCACACUUUCAUAGGAUGAUUUGAAAGGGAAUCUUGGUAUUUUCUGUCCAAAUUUGGACGUGGAGUAGCAAGCCUGGUCUGACUCUAACUGCAAGAUAAGCUAAAUGAUUUUUUUUUUUUGGAAGGUUGUUGGUUUAGCUCUGGGCUGGAGACUCUUCAUCCUUAUACAUAUGACUUUCAGAGGACACAGAAGCCCAGCCUCAGCUAGCAAGGUUUCCAGGGUUACCCAUUCCUCAGUUAACUUUCCUGGUUUGCACCAGAGAAAUCAGUAAUAAAAGACAUGGGUAAUAAAUACCAGUUCAGUCUCACAGACUCUCCGUUUUCCAGUGAAGACCACCAGAAAAUGUCAGUGUUACAGUCAACAGCCAAGGGCUCACCUGAUUAUGGGUGUGAGGACUUUUUGUGCUACUGUGGUUAACAUGGCAGAAAAUUCUAACAUAAAUGAGUCAGCUUGCCCAAGGCAAAGGCUUUUUUUUCCACCAAAAUUUUCCCACCAUGUGGCAGAUGCUAUCCUGUUCUUUGGACAGCCUUUAACUGAACAUCUCCCAGUGCUUCAUAGACACUAAGCCUGAAAUAUAUACUGCAGCUUUAAUUCUAUCAUGGCCGUUCAUAUUCCCAUACAGGACUCUUAGUCUGCUUUAAUUUGAGAGUUGAAAAGGGAGAUAGGCAAAGCUAGUACGAAUUUGAAAGACUUGACCAUUUCUCUGAAGUAGUUUGUUUAUAGUGCCAUCAACUGAACAGAAUGGCAUACUGUAGAAGUUGAAAGUAAUUUAUCUGAAGGCUGCUGGUAGAAAACCAUGAUAUGACAGUAAAAACCCUUAGGUAUCAUUCUUUCCUCCGCUUCAAAACAAUCCAGGAAUAAUUCUUAAACAUCUUACCAGCAUCCAAGGUAGUUUAGAGGAGUAUUGCAAGUGUGUAAAUUUCUCAGUAAAAUUUACUAUUUUAUAUAAAAUUCAUUCAAAUAUUUACUGCUUCUAAAUUACUAUCUACACUUUAUGUUUGGUCACUGAAAAAAGAUUACAUUGUAUUUACCUCUAAAUUCAUGGCUUCUGAAUGAGCUGAUGAGCUAAUGAGUCCAUUAAAAUGUGUAAUCAUACAAAUGCAUACUUGUGUGCAUUUAACGUGCUUUUGGUUUGGUUGGGGUUUGUGUGUGUUGUUUUUGUCUUUUCUUCUCGAAUGUGCCCUUAUGAACAAAACUUUAUUUAUAUGAAGGUUCCCCUCAUGUGGGUGAACACUGUUCAGGAAUGCUUUCAGACAUAGUUUGAUUUUUAUUUGAAUCAAGGUUCUAAAAACAGUUUUAUGCAAUAUUGUUAUUUCUACACCGAAGUAAGUUUCGAAGUGGAUUAACACGUGGUACCUGAGCUUUAAUACUCUUCCAUUCUCAAUUUGAAUUUAUCGGCCAUGGAGUUUCAAACUGGGGAAUAUCUUUAACCUUUUUAAUUAGUUCUUCAUUGUGGGGAACAGAACAAACUGGCAGACUACAGUCACAAUUAUCAAAAGCAAAUACAGACAGUAUUACACAUCCAGCUUCUGAUGAGAAAGGAUAAUGAGAAAUCUGAUUUGAUCCAUGACAAACCAUGGGUCAGCAAAUCAUGCCUGCUUCUUGUGUUCUAAACCAUGCCUUUUUUUCACUAAUUUUAACUUCAAUUUCUUUUUCAGAAGGGCAAACUCACGAACACUCACGCUUUCAUCAUCUGGGAAGCACUUGUAAUAGCCAUUCAAUAAUUUAAAAUUAAAAUAGCCCCCUGUUGUCUUUUCCAGGUAUAAUGCAAGACAGCUUUAUUUCCUUUUUUUCUUUUUCUUUUUCUUUUUCUUUUUCUUUUUCUUUUUCUUUUCUUUAAGAGGCUUUUUGAGACCUUAAAUGACCAACAUGUGAUCUGCCAUUAGCUUCUGCGACUGGAGUAGUGUGGCACAGGCAUCUAUGGGAAGCCUAUGGAGGAUGUUAUGAAGGCUUCAGACAUUUGUCUGAGGCAACUAAUGGAAGAAUAUAAUCAUUACAAACACCUUCAGUAGUCAACAGAGAAAGAGAGAAGCCUUCCCAGCUGUUCAGCAAAAUACUCUGCUAUGUGUCUCUUUGUUCCCUGCAUUUUGCUCCAGAGCGAUCCAGUGCCCUCACUGUUUGCUGACUGAGAAUUCUACUUUUAUUAAAAAAGUAAAUUUGCCUUGGAAUCAGCUAGUAUCCUACAGAAACCCUGCAAGGGUGCAGGCAGUAGGUGCUGAGAGCAGAUGUAGUUGCCACGUAGAGAUUAACCAGAUGAGUGUUUCAGAUGGCACUGCUGGGAUUUGUUACUGCUCUCUGAUGACCAAACACUGCGGAAACUAUUAUGAGAGUGAAAUUUGCUCUGUGCUGUGCUGCUACAAUACAACUACUGUUUCUUUUCAUCAACAUCAGAACAUGAAAAUAGAGCAAGAAUCAUGCACAAGCUGCAGCGAAGCUCAUAUUGAAGAUCUUCAUAUUUUUUGCAGCUAAUAAUGAAACAUUGUUCUUCAUACAAAUGCCUCAUUAACUCAUUAUUCUAGGCAAGGUGCAAGUUCAUAUAACUCACAAAUUAUGUUAUUUCAAUAAUAGCUGUGGAAGUUAGAAUGGAAACACUUUAAUCUUGCAGAGGCAAAUGUCAUGACAACAAUCAGUAAUGUUGUCUUCACUGUAUUAAGCCAGAAGCUGUGCUGGAAAAUGAAUAUGCUCCAUAUGCUGAUAGGCACACCCAGAGCCGCAAGCAGCAAUCUUUUUUUUAUAAAGCAGGAUUUAAGAGUGACAUUUAUACCAACCUUUUCCUUUAUAACAAAAUUUUGUUUAAAAACCUCCAAUGUAUUUUGCUUAUAAGUGAGGGCUUUUUUUUAUUCGUUCUUUUUUUUUUCUAAAUACAAAGCUGGGGACCUCUGGGCUCGGGAGUUCUAUGGCUAUUAUUUUUAUUUUACAAGUUUAUAAUCCUGCAGAAGUUCAGUUUAUGUUUCUGUAGUUCUCAUGCCAUAAUGUGCAAACACAAAAAGCAACAGUAAAGAAGAAAAUCUGAAAUAUUCUGACUUUGAUUUUACUGCAUAAGGCCCAAUCACAUUUUCCUAUCCUCACUUACACCAUUAACUUUUCUGUUAUAUUUGUUUAUAUUGCUUUUACCAAAAAAAAAAAAAAAUGUUUUUUUUGCAAUUUAUUUUCUGAGUACCAGGAUAUGCAGAUAGUUCCAGUGUUCCAUGGCUUAAACUGGACUAUGGUUUCAUUACAAAAUAAACUUUUCUCAGUUAGUUACUGUUAACAUGGCCCACCUAGGACAAAAUUUUGCUCUCCCACCAACCCAUUUCAUUCCUGAUGGAUAGAGGUCUGGAAUUCUGCAUACGCACCUGGGCACAACAAAAUCCCUCUGGAUUCUGCAAUCUUCUCUUCAAGUUGGUUGUUCUAAAGUUAAUUUGAAGCUUCAUAGCUUGUGGCAGCAAUAAAUAACAGAAAAGUAUUAGGCCGUGCAACUCUUGACUCAAGAAAAAGAGAGAAAUUUGAAGGGGAUGGGGACAGUCAACUUUGUUGACCCUGCUGCUAACAAAGAGGUGAAAUGAUGGGAAAAUGAUUGCUGUUGAUUAGAGGGGCCACCCUUAUGUCAGACUCACUCAAAAAACGUGACAGCCUGGGAGAAGUAAGUUUUCAAGACCUGUGUAGAAUCACACAGUUAUUUUCCUGCCCCAGCCAUUUGUAGCCAUUAGCAACUGCCUGUGUUACUUAUCCUAUGCUGGACUGUGUAUUUACAUGCACACAGGUAUGUAACAUUAUCUGUGUGUGUAUAUAUAUACACACAUACACACACUUAAUGGUUUUCUAGUAUAACCGAACCUCUUCUUGACAAAUAAUGGAUAUUACAAUAUAUUACUAACAGUGAAGAAUUUUCUUAGUUGCUUGUGCUUUUUUGGAGCAAAAGAGACAAGUUUCCGUGGUUAACAUGAAAUCAUGUGGACUAUGGUGCUCUCAGUUAAGAGGUUUCCUACUAUUUACUAUCAGAUCUAGCACAGCACCAAACAAAGAAUCUCUGUACCCAGUUGAAAUGUCUUUUUUAGACGCAGAAAUUUGGUCAGAAAAAGUCUACAGUGGUGACGUGCAAGAGCCAGAAACCUCACACUGCAGCUCUAGGUUCAUUCUAGUUCUAGGGAGACAUAGCCAGCCCUGAGCAAUUAAUAUCCUUUUCUCACACCCAGCUUCAGCCAGGAGGUGUCUUUCCUUCCUGGAAAAUGUUCCCAUCCAUUUUGUAACAGAUGAAGUAAGACAUCCUGGUAAGUAAAUAGGAAUUUGUAGCACUGUAUGAAUAUUCAUUUUUUCUGUCCAAACACAGCGAUUAAAACCUAACAUUUUAACCUCUGGAGAUUUCAGAAUGUGCAAAUCAGGUGCUAAAUGGCAGCUUUAGGAAACUAUUAAUACAAACCUAGUUUGCUCUGCUAGUAAAAAGCAGAGAUUUCUUAUCUCCAAUUUAAAACAUGACCCAAGUGGAUAUAUUUAUCAUUGCAAUUUUUGUCUUAAUACAUCAGUUGAUAGCAGGAGGACUGGAGCCAGAAGCAGCCACAGUCUCUGUGUGCAGUAGAAGGUGUAGAGCUGUGUGCCUGAACCUGCACCGUGCCACCUGCAACCAGCCCUGGAAUAGAAGGAAAGGUGGGUAAUACCCUAACUCUGACAGCCCUCCAUUAGAUCAUGUCCCUGAGCACCACAUCCAAACAGUUUUUAAACACAUCCAGGGAUGGUGACUUAACUACUUCCCUUGGGAACCUAUUCCAGUGCUUAACAACCCUUUCUGUAAAGAAGUUUUUCCUGAUAUCCAACCUAAACUUACCCUGGCACAACUUAAGGCCAUUUCCCCUUGUCCUGUCACCAGUGAGAAGAGACCAACCCUGCUCUCGCUGUAAGCACCAUUCAGAUACUGGAAGAGAGCAAUAACGUCUCCCCUCAGCCUCCUUUUCACCAGACUGAACAGCCCCAGCUCUUUCAGUCUCUCCUCAUAGGGCAUAUUCUCUAAGCCCUUCACAAGCCUUGUUGCCCUUCUUUGGACCUGCUCCAGCAUCUCAAUGUCCUUUCUGUACUGAGGUGCCCAAAACUGAACACAGUACUCGAGGUGAGGUGUCACCAAUGCCGAGUACAGGAGCAGGAUUACUUCCCUAGUCCUGCUCACCACACCAUUUCUCAUACAAGCCAGGAUGCCAUUGGCCUUCUUGGCCUCCUCUGGGCACACUGUUGGCUCAUAUUCAGCUGACUGUCCAUCAGUACACCAAGGUCCCUUUUCAUCAAGCAGCUUUCCAGCCACUCCUCCUCAAGCCUGUAGGGUUGCCUGGGGUCGUUGUGACCAAAAUGCAGGAUCUGAAACUUGGCCCUACUGAAACUCACACAGUUAACCUUGGUCCACUGAUCCAGUCCAUACAAGUCCCUCUGUAGUGCCUUUCUCCUCUUUGGCAGAUCAACACUCUCCCAACUUGGUGUUGUCUGCAAAUUUACUGAGGGUGCCUGUGGUAGAACUAAGCAAGGCACUACAGUACUGAAUAACUUUUAUGAGCACUUCUAGCAGGAUAAGCUAUGCUGAACUACAACAGGGAGAUGCUGAGGCUGAGCUGUCAUGACCUAGGAGUGGAUGUGGGAGCUCAUGUUUCACAGAAUGGCUCAAGCACAAGCACUGCUUUGUUCCCAGUGCUCCGUGGGGCAUGGCAUAUUUGCGCCUCUGCAUCAGAGCAGCUAUAGCCACACAACCAGGUAUGUACUAGCUUACUACCUAAGGGGAGGUUUUUUAGGAUUUGCUGCUUGUCUGAUGACUGAAAUUGCCAUCUGGAUCUCAGUGAGUGGUACUUCUAGGCAAACCUUUCUAGUGCUGGUGGGAAUCAAGCCAUAAAAACAUGAAUGCCUUCUUAAUUCUUUUUUUCAAGGUGGUGACACCCAGCUAAAACACUUGAAAGAACGAUUUAAGCAAAGUGACAAGCUAGUGGCACUUUUCUAACUAUUACUUUUAAACACUACAGGUUAAUCUCUUUGAUUGGGAAGCUUUAGGAUUCUUUUCCUAGAGAGCUCCCAAUGGCAAUCAGUAGAAAAGUGAAAACAUCUAAAUCAUCUCUUCUGAAAGCCAGUGUGAAGGAAAGGUAUGCUCUGAAGUCUGCACAUCAGGUCACAGCAUAAAAGAGAGAACAAGAUAAGUCAUAUAAGCUCUCUUUCCUGGAGAUGUCAGCCAAAAUGCCGCAUGAUCACCAACAAGCGCAAAAAUGAACAAACUUCAGGGAUCAAGUCUAAGCAAGAGAUUAGAGAAGACAUCCCCCCAGAAUGCUCCCAAACUUCCUACUCUGGUUCCUCCUGAAGAGCAGAAUUCUGCUUGGACAAACUACCUACAGACUGAAAUCCAAGUGUGUUGAUGCCCGGGCUGUCUUUUCCCCAGAAGCAGGAGCAAAAGAGAAGAAACUUUUCUUCACUUUGCAAAACGAUGUCUCUUUUGCACCACUGACUUUUUUCACUCCAUAAAUGAUUUCCAGGUACCUGUCUGGAAGAGAAGAAGAAAUACAUACCCCAGGAGGCUUUGCAUUCAGAGAAGAGAUAUAACCCCUGGCAAGGUCACCUGAUGUCCUUUUCUUCUUUUGGCUCUCCUCCCUGCUGCUUGACCCAACUGCACAUCUCACCUCAGUGUUACAGUGAGGCUUUCAGCUCUUGGACACUCCUUCUCUCAUUAUAUUUGAUUGAUUAGCUUCAAUUCUUAUUAUAUUGUAUUAUAAUGUAUUAUCUUGCAUUCUGAUACUAUAUUUAGUAAAUUAGUUUCUUUCUUCUCAGAUUGUUGCUCCUGGUCUUAAUUGUUCAGGGUCCCCUGUUUCCUUUUUUUGGAGGUCUGGAUCUGUGGAUCCCUCCACCCUGCCAGUCAUGGAACUGGGCUGAACCAGAUCGUUACUGAUCAAUCUCUAAAAAUGAAUGAAAUUUGAGGUCUGAGAAAAGAUUUUUCAUGCCACCCAAAUUGUCACCUGGUUACUUCGAUGUUGGGACAAUGGGGUCAACAGUGUGUGGCAAGAACAUAGAGAAGGUUGCCAACUGGGUGGCAUUGCUAGGGACUCAGCCAUUGGUAUUAGUACAUGCUAGAACCAGGCCUCUUCACCCUCUGAAAGAGGAUGUUGUUAGCUGUGAAAGAAAGAUACCCCUUCAAAGACGAUCUGAUGCCUGAGGGGAAAAAAAAAAAAAAAAAAAGGACUGAUAGGGAAAAAGACAUCUGUUACUUGAGAGACUAUGCUGUGGUGGAAAUGUUACGUAGCCCCAUUUUCAUUCCUGAUGAGCCAGACCAAGAGCAUGAUCCUGGGAGAGUCAGGUGUACACAAAGUAUGUGGCAUAUAUUCACAAAAACUGCACCAGAAAGGUAUGCCAGUUCGUGUGCAGCAAUGUAUGGCAGAGGGGAAAGAGGACCCCCUUAUAAACAAACUGAUUAAUAAACUCCAAGACUUUGAGUUCCAUUUCACCCCUCUAUGAGCUUGUGUUUCCGCUAUUUCAAAAGUAGCUGAAAAACUGGACAGAAUGGAAAUAUGAUAGAUGAACUGUCUACUGUGCUUAAUGCUGAAGGAUGCGUGGUGGUAUCAGAUACAUCUGAUGGGGACAAGGAUUCCCAAAACAGCCUAUUGGGCAGGCUGAUCAAAUUGGUUUCCUCCCAGCCUGGAUCAUCCAAUGUCUCAGCUAUCAAAAGAAAACAUCUUCCUGCACAUUCAAGUGACAACAGUAAGACUGUAAAACUGUUGCGUUUUGCCGUGUGGCAUUACCUACAUGACCAUGGAGAAGAUAUGAAGAAGUGGCAUAAAAAACCCCCUCCUGCACUUCAAGCUUGGGUAAAAGAAUUACAAGACAGAUCAACCGCUAAGGUGAACCUCUCCAAAGAGAUGAUUGCUUCAGUUGCUGUGGGACACAGCAAUAGCCAUAAGAACAACAGAGAUAACAAAUAGAGGGGGCCCUGCCCCCAGCCGGGGGUGGAAGGGAUAAUAGAGUGCAUUGGACUGUGUGGAUUAGAUGGCCUGGCAUGUCAGAACUACAGAAAUAUAAGGCCCUGGUGGACACUGGUGCACAGUGCACUCUAAUGCCCUUGAGUCACCGAAGGAAAGAAUCAAUUUAUAUUCAUGGGGUGACUGGGGGUUCCCAACAAUUGACUAUGUUGGAGGCUGAAAUAAGCCUCAGUGGUAAAGACUGGCACUCUUUCUCUCAUUAUAUUUGAUUGGUUAGCUUCCAUUCUAAUUAUAUUGUAUUAUAGUGUGUUAUCUUGCAUUCUGAUACUAUUAUUUAGUAAAUUAGUUUGUUUCUCCUCAGAUCAUAGCUGCUGUUCUUAAUUAUUUGGGGUCCCCUGUUUCCCCUUUCCAGAGGCACAGAUAUGCAGAUCCCUCUGCCCCACCACUCAUGGAACUGGGCUGAACCUGCCCAUAAACCAUUGACAAAGACUGACUAAAUUUUUGCCAUAGCUCAUGCAUUAUUUCUCCUGAAGUCAGUUACUUAACUCUUGGAUUUUAGGUUAUGUUCUAACCCUCCUUCCUCUGAACGCUUUAUUUAACCAUUCACAGAUGUACUGUACAUCUCUUAACCACUUCUUUUUAGUGUUGUGUGACAGUGCCCCACAACACAGCUUCUUUUGUAUUAUAAGGUAACUUACAUGUCCAUAUUUUAUAUAAAAGCAACAACACAGUAGAGAGAUCUGUAAAACAAGAAGACUUAUUUGUUCCCAGUUCACUUCUUUUUUUCAUGUUUACUUAUUAAUAUGCAGUCAUGCAUGGAAACACUCUUGUUACAUUCAAUUUCAUUGGUAUUCAGCUCUUUCAAAAAAGAGUUAUUUCAGUCUCUGGGAAAACAAACAAAAAACACCACCAACAAAAACUAGCAAAGCAAACAACCACCACCACCACCACACACACACACGCACCAAACACAAAACAAAUGAAUAAAAAAAAUAGCCUGGGCUGUAAAGCUGAGUUCCCAGCUCCUGUUUGUGCAAAUAUAAAAGUACAUAAUGAAUAUAUCUGGACACCAGUGUGGGAAGAAACUCAGCUGGAAGCUCUUUGACCUUGUAGAGGAAAAGCCAACAGAUGAAGCUGUCAAUUUGGAUAAAAUUGAAGUAAAAGUAAGGUGCACAUGUUAACAGUGGUGAUAAUUAACUACUGGACUACCUUACCAAUACAUGCGGUAGCAUCUCCUUUACUUGGUCUCUAUGAAGUUGUUAUUAUAUUGAGCAUGUGUCUGUCAAAAGAGACGGAAACACAUGAAAGACAGAUCCAUC
ensembl:lncRNA